UGGGGAAUUUUGGACAAUGGGCGAAAGCCUGAUCCAGCAAUGCCGCGUGUGUGAAGAAGGCCUUCGGGUUGUAAAGCACUUUUGUCCGGAAAGAAAUCCUUGGCUCUAAUACAGUCGGGGGAUGACGGUACCGGAAGAAUAAGCACCGGCUAACUACGUGCCAGCAGCCGCGGUAAUACGUAGGGUGCAAGCGUUAAUCGGAAUUACUGGGCGUAAAGCGUGCGCAGGCGGUUUGCUAAGACCGAUGUGAAAUCCCCGGGCUCAACCUGGGAACUGCAUUGGUGACUGGCAGGCUAGAGUAUGGCAGAGGGGGGUAGAAUUCCACGUGUAGCAGUGAAAUGCGUAGAGAUGUGGAGGAAUACCGAUGGCGAAGGCAGCCCCCUGGGCCAAUACUGACGCUCAUGCACGAAAAGCGUGGGGGAGCAAACAGGAUUAGAUACCCUGGUAGUCCACGCCCUAAAACGAUGUCAACUAGUUGUUGGGGAUUCAUUUCCUUAGUAACGUAGCUAACGCGUGAAGUUGACCGCCUGGGGAGUACGGUCGCAAGAUUAAAACUUAAAUGAAUUGACGGGG
rnacentral:rRNA from 1 species